GGCUAAGUGAAUAAGGGGUAUGAUUUUCGCUUCGCAUUGUCCGACAAUGUGUUCUGUGAAAGGCCGGGGGUUCAAAUCCCCCUCAGUCC